UGGGGAAUUUUGGACAAUGGGCGAAAGCCUGAUCCAGCAAUGCCGCGUGUGUGAAGAAGGCCUUCGGGUUGUAAAGCACUUUUGUCCGGAAAGAAAUCCUUGGCUCUAAUACAGUCGGGGGAUGACGGUACCGGAAGAAUAAGCACCGGCUAACUACGUGCCAGCAGCCGCGGUAAUACGUAGGGUGCAAGCGUUAAUCGGAAUUACUGGGCGUAAAGCGUGCGCAGGCGGUUUGCUAAGACCGAUGUGAAAUCCCCGGGCUCAACCUGGGAACUGCAUUGGUGACUGGCAGGCUAGAGUAUGGCAAGGAGGGGGGUAGAAUUCCACGUGUAGCAGUGAAAUGCGUAGAGAUGUGGAGGAAUACCGAUGGCGAAGGCAGCCCCCUGGGCCAAUACUGACGCUCAUGCACGAAAGCGUGGGGAGCAAAACAGGAUUAGAUACCCCUGGUAGUCCACGCCCUAAAACGAUGUCAACUAGUUGUUGGGGAUUCAUUUCCUUAGUAACGUAGCUAACGCGUGAAGUUGACCGCCUGGGGAGUACGGUCGCAAAGAUUAAAACUCAAAGGAAUUGACGGGGUCAUAGCUG
rnacentral:rRNA from 1 species